CCCUGAUCAUGGUGGCUUUUUAAAUGCAGGCGGGCUUGCCUUUGUCCUUUUUCCGCUGCGGAGGUUCCAGAAGCAGGAUGGCUGGGCAGGGCUGUGCAAUACAGCACGUGGUGCAGGCACCCAGAAAGCCGCAGGGGCCUGGGUCCCGUUUAUGCCCCUUGGAAGUUGUAGUCCUGAAGUGGGUAACAGUUCGGGACCUUUCCUGACGCGGGCGGUUGAGGAAACUAAGAUCUUUUGACCAGGAUCAGAACCAAAAAUGCUGACUACUAUUAACCCUAUUGAGGAGAUCUUGUCCAGGAUUGGGGUCAAAAAAUGCUGACUACUAUUAAACCUAUUGAGGAAAUGAAAUCUUGGAUCAGGAUUGGAACAAAAAUGCCGACUAAUAAUUAAACCUAUUGAGGAGAUCUUGUCCAGGAUUGGAGUCAAAAAUGCUGACUACUGUUAAACCUAUUGAGGAAAUGAAAUCUUGGAUCAGGAUUGGAACAAAAAUGCCGACUAAUAAUUAAACCUAUUGAGGAGAUCUUGUCCAGGAUUGGAGUCAAAAAUGCUGACUACUGUUAAACCUAUUGAGGAAAUGAGAUCUUGGAUCAGGAUUGGAACAAAAAUGCCGACUAAUAAUUAAACCUAUUGAGACAUUUCUGAAGUGGGGUACCAGAUCUGGGAUCUGAAACAAUAAAACUUCAUAAUUGUGCUUUGAUAAAGAUAUAUGGCAGCAGUGAUGGAGUGGGAAGUAGAAGACGGAGACCAAACUUUCUACUUAAAUGAUUUGUCACCAUGUUGUCUUCAGUCAGCUAUACCAUUGUUCUUCAGUUGUGUCUGAUUCUUCGGGACCCCAUGGAUCAUAGCACCCUGGUGGGCCAGUCUGAUGUUCGGUGUGAUGUGCUCUGCCUCUAAUAAAGACCAUAUGCAGC